GCUCGUCGGUGUGGGGUUCGAGGCGGUUGAGUGAGACGAGACGCGCCCCUCCCACGCGGGGAAGGGCGCCCGCCUGGUCCGGCGAGCGCACGUCCGGUGCUCCCCUCUGGCGGAAAUACUAGGCUUUAGAAUUUCACCAUAUGAAUUUUGGGAGAGAGGAGCACAGUUCAGCCCAUAACUAACACACGACGGAAUGAAGUUGAUAAUAGUGAGACCUUGUUGGUACAAGACUAUGUAACAUAACCUGCGCUUCUCAACAAAGAAUUGCUUUUCUGACUUCUGCACUCAGUUCUUUCCUCCAGCUCACUUUAUUGUAAGAACCUUGGUGUCUGUAAUCGGCUCGGAACCCUUGCUGCUCUUUCACUGAAUAUCGCUGUCUGGAGGUUACUUGGUACACUGGUCGACAAAACCUUGAAAUGUUGAUGUUUAAGGGCUGUUGAUUGCUGGCAGCAAAGAAGUCCAACUGUGCUGGUACCCGAGAUAGCGUCUCCACAUUUUCUUCCAGGAUC
rnacentral:lncRNA from 10 species